rnacentral:RNase_P_RNA from 1 species
UUUGCGCAGUCGCGGUUAACUUAAUGUUAGCUGAGGAAAGUCCACGCACGCACAAGCUGAGAUGCUUGUAGUGAUCGUAUUCAGACCAAUAAGCUGGAGGAUUUUUAUAAUUACGGCGGAAAAAGUGCUAAAUCCUUUGGACAAGCAUUAAUAUCCUGAAAAGUGCCACAGUGACGAAGUAAAAUUGGAAACAAUUUUAGUGGAACGAGGUAAACCCUGCGAGCGUGUAACCCAAAUUUGGUAGGGGCGUCUGGUUUAAGGAAAUGAACGAUGAACCAGGUUAUUGCUAAUUAGCAAUAAAGAUAGAUGGCUGCACAAGGUAGUAUUUACCAAUGCUACUGGAACAAAACGUGGCUUAUAG